UACGUAGGGGGCAAGCGUUGUCCGGAAUCAUUGGGCGUAAAGCGCGUGUAGGCGGCUUGGUAAGUCUGCUCUGAAAGCCCGGGGCUCAACCCCGGGAGGCGGGUGGAUACUGUCAAGCUCGAGUCCGGAAGAGGAGUGUGGAAUUCCUGGUGUAGCGGUGAAAUGCGCAGAUAUCAGGAGGAAUACCAGUGGCGAAGGCGGCCUUCUGGACUGACACUGACGCUGAGGCGCGAAAGCCAGGGGAGCAAACGGG
rnacentral:rRNA from 1 species